rfam:Candidatus Wildermuthbacteria bacterium RIFCSPHIGHO2_02_FTLL_47_12 rifcsphigho2_02_scaffold_3277, whole genome shotgun sequence.
AUACUAUAAUCAUAUAUUCCGCAGACAGCAGGUGCCCAAAAAGGCAUAAAUCCUGCCGAGGAAAGCAACGUGCUUUUUGCCUGUGGGAAUACCACAGUUUUUUAUUUCGCUUC